UAUAAUAAUAUCAUAAUAAUGAUGUUGAAGGGGAGGACAAUAUGCCACCCCAAAAUAUGCCUCUUUGGCAUAAGGAUUAUUUUGAGCUGAUUAUAUUUAACAAACAGCAGACAUAGGAAAAGCUUUGCAAAAUUGGUAGAAGUUAUCCUUUGUAAGAGACAUUUACAUUUGCUAAAGAAAAUUUCCAUUUGUAAGGGUGUCUCCCUCUCUGUACCAGGAAGAGAGGAAUGACUCAAUUGCCAAAAACUCUUAUCCAUGGAAAAGGCAAUGACUUAAAUUUGCAUAACAACCUUACCCUUGCUUACUGCGCUUUUCCUGGUCACCUCCCAUAAAUGCCACCCCUCCCCUAACAUCUUUUGUCUGUAGCUGGAGAUGUUAUUUAAGGUGGUGGCUUGGACAAUGUCCGGGAGUUCCUCAGUUUUCCUGGGUAUCACCCAUGUACACAGGAGGUAUACAUGUUAUUAAACUUCUGUUUGUUUUUCCCUUGUUAAUCUUUCUUUAUUACAGGAGAGUCUCAGCCAAGAACCUAGAAGGGUAGAGGGAAAAUUAUUUUUCCUCCUCCACAGUUUGGCGACCUACAAUGGGACCUGCUGAGACACCAUACUCACUCCGGAGCCUGCAGAUGGGAUCUUGGAAAACUGGCAGAAGCAGUGAAGGCAUUAUUCACAAUAGCCAAGACUUGGAAGCAACCUAAGUGUGCAUCAAGGGAUGACUGGAUAAAGAAGAAGUGGUAUAUAUACACAAUGGAAUACUACUCAGCCAUAAGAAAUGAUGAAAUCCAGCCAUUUGUGACAACAUGGAUGGACACUGAGGCCCUGCAAACUGAGUGUGAAAGACUCGAUAUAAACUUCAGAAGAAUCACCACAACAGCUCAUGUUUGGACAAUCUUCCAUGUCUGUUGCUGUAUGGGCCACUCAGAAAGUUUACCCGAACAUCGAUGACACCAUCAGAGACACUGAAACUUCAAAAGAUACUUCAACCCUGACAUCUAGACUGGAUGCCCUCAGGACUCAACUGGUUUAUAAUUUGCUCCAAAUUUUUAACCAUUGCUUUUCUUUUGUUUCCAUAGACAUGCCUCUUAUUAAAUAACCUGACUGCUUGCACAAUACAGGCCUAACUUUGGGAGCCUACUUGCAUCACAGCCUCCUGAAAUGAGAUGCAACUGUUUAACUGAACUGACGUAUUCUUAAGACUAAGAGACUAGGUUCAAUGAGAUAUGGAGCAAUCUAUCAACUUAGCUUCUGGAUUGUAAAGCUUGUUAGAAGUUUCAAAAGCAGGGCUGAAGGGGAGCAGAAUAUGCCACCCCAAAAUAUUCCUCUUUGGCGUAAGGAUUAUUUUGAACUGAUUAUUUUUAAGAAACAGCAGGCAUAGGAAAAGCUCUGAAAACUGAGUAGAAGUUACCCUUUGUAAAAAGACAUUUACAUUUGCUAAGGGAAAUCUCCAUUUCUAAGGAUGUCUAGCUCUCUGUACCAGGAAGAGGAUGACUCAAUUGCUAGAAACUCUUAUAAAUGGAGAAGACAAUGACUUAAAUCUGCAUAACAACCUGACCCUUUUUUACUGUGCUUUUCUUGUCACCUCCAAUAAUUGUCACCCCUUCCCCAACAUCUUUUGUCUUUAGCUGGAAACGUUAUUUAAGGUGGUGGCCUGGGCCAUUUUGGAGAAUUACUCAGUUUUCCUGAGUAUCUCCCACAUAUACUGAAGGUAUACAUGUUAUUAAACUUGUUUGUUUUUCUCUUGUUAAUCUGUCUUUUUAUUACAGGGGUGUCUCACUCAAGAACCUAGAAGGGUAGAGGGAAAAUUAUUUUUCCUCCCCCACAACAUCCAUUUUAUAUAUAACAAAACUGAAAUACAGAAUGCCCAAAGUCUUACAACUAAACGUUGAGUCAAAGUUAAAACCAAUGGAAUCUGUUUCUAGAACUUGUUCUUAACUAUACCUACAACCAUUUCAAAAUUUGAAGAUGUUUAUUUACUAUCAGAACAAAACACAUCAAAUUAAUCAACUAAGAGAUAUUUGGAGCAAUUAUGAAAAGUUUCCUACUGAUUAAUUCCACCAGUUCUUGACUAACAUCUCCUAGAAAAAUUGGCCCAAAUGUAACCACAGGACCUCCAGGACCAGUUCAACUGAUGCCAUCUUAUCAACUGAGUAAUUAAGAAACUGUCUUUCAGAAAAUUUGUGAAGUCACGUAGCCAGAGCAUGCACAGAAGAAGAAAUCUUGACCUGAAGUGACUGUGGAACCAAAGAUUCUCCUCCCCACAGAACCAAAGGACAUGUCUGGAACUUAAAAGUUGGACUCCUAUCAGAAGUGAGGGGUCCAUCAUUCAGGAGGACCCAGUGUUAAAAUUCCUUCCCCACCAUACCAUAAAAGUUUAGAACCUCAUCAUAAAUGUUUAGAACCUUACCAUAAAUGUUUAGAACCUUACCAUAAAUGCUUGAAGCCCACCAAUCAAAAUCUGUCCUGCCAGCAUUUCUGCAUGCCAGCCUGUUCUCCCUAACCUCGUAAAUUCUGCCCCAACUCCUGAAUCAGAGAGACAGAUCUGAGGGCACAGACGCCCUGCCUCCCUGCAGAUCAGUGUUACAGAAUGAAGCUGAUCUCUUUCCCCAAAGGCUGAUUCCAGCAUUAAUUGGCUUGUUUAUGUGCAUUGGGCAAGAGAACCUCAAUUUUGUGCAGUAACAAAAAUACACUAAUAGAUCAUUUUCUUCAGGGAAAAAAAGUUAUCUGCAGCUAGAUAAUCUAGAACUUCACAGUAUAACAUUCAAAAUUGGCUCAACCAAGAAGGUUUCAUCACUUCUAAUCUGAGUCAAAACAUUUGUGGAUUAUAGUCUCAUGUAAAAUAAUCAAACAAUAAAUUUUCUAAAAUUUAAGAAUUGCAAUAUAUGGAAGACAGAAAUUAUAAGAGAGUUCCAAACUAUAUCCAAAGAUUGACUUCAGGAAAUAAGUUCUUAAAUUAAAGAAAGUAUCCUCAUAACUCCUUUUCCUUUUUCUAUCUCAGAGCCCCACUUCACAAUACCUAAAAUUAUAAAAGAUUGCUAACAGCUUUUAAUAGUAAGCUAUGGAUAUCCAGCUGGCAAUUAGAUCAAAGCUCAAUUUUUAGAAUUUCUUUUCUCCUUCUCUACUUGUCCUCUGUCAUUAAAUACUAUCCCCUCUAUUUAUUUUUUCUUUAUUUUUUCCUGAUAUAUUUCAACUUUGCUCAGUAUCAAGAAAGAAAUUUUCAAAAAGGAAAUGGGGUACUUCCAGGUAAGUUAAAAGCUUUGUUCCUUAUUUCCCAUUGAUAGACCAAUGACAUAAAAAAACAUGUGAAAAGGCACUUCUUGAGAAUAGAAAUCAAUGCUAAACAUCAACCAUAAGCAAGAAAUUUAGAAUUUUUUAAAAAGGGUAAUAAAUUAUGUAUAAAAUGCUUUAUUAUAAAUAAUGAUCAUAGUUUUGAAUAAACAGAAGACUGAUUUUUUAAAUAUAGCUAAGUUUGGGAUGGUUUUCAUCUGUUUUUCUACUUUUUUAUAUUAAUCCAAUGUUUUUAAUGAGCACACUCUACUUAUAAAACUAAAACAAAGACUCACAUGUUGUUUUUGCACCUGCCUCAUGCACAUAUUUCUUAGAGAUUGUAUGCUUCCUGGCAGGCACCAGAUUCUAUUCAUCCUUAUUGUGCCUCCCUAAAACGUAGGUAAUAAUCAAUAAAUUUUUCUGAAUGAAUGAAUGAAUUUCAUAUGUAUGUCCACAAAAGAAUAUACUCUGCAUAAAUGUAGAAUGUCUUUAAAACUCUAAAUUCUUUUUUUCUCAUUCAUUCAAUGAUAACUCAGAAAUUAAAUUUUGAAUUACUUCUUAAAGUAAAUAUGGAUUUGAAUAUGUAAAACAUUGAUCUAAACAUUGCUAUGUCUGUUGCAAUAAUAAAGGCUAAUAGAAGUAGAAUUUUCAAUGAAUCUCAUUAAUUUUAUCAAUGUCUACUUGAGGCCAACUUUAUUCACAGCUUUUAGUGGUUCUGACAAAUGUCAACAGAAGCAAAGUACUACAUUUUCUAAAAUUUACUUUAGAAUACUUCAGCAUAAACUGUGUGAUAGUUAUGUAGAUGUGACUAAAUUUUUAUUUAUCCUGUAGUGUGGUUAGGUAAUAUUUGAAAGUUUUUAAUCAAAACUCUUCCAAAUUUCUAAUUCAGUUAUCUUUAUUUUUAAAAAUAUCAGAUGGCUUGUCAAUCGCCAUCAUAGAUGUUAGAAGAAUGCUCCAUAGUAAAACAAGUGUUCAAGAUACAGGUGGAUUUGCUAGAAAUAUUUUUCCAGACAUAAGCACCCUUUCAUGAACAGAGCAUAAAAAUCAAGCCAGCCUUACAGCCUACAGACAAUUUCAUUGCACUCCAGGCUUAGGAUUCCACUCAUUCCUGCAAUGAGAGUUUUUUCCUGACUCCAGUUGGAAGGGUAGCUGAAUCCAGCAGCUAAAACAUCAUCUCAUCUGCCUCUAGGAAGCUUUCUUGCAGAGUUCUAUCACAAUGCCUCAAAGGUUUAACAGCUGGGACACCAUUGAGAUGACAUAAUAGAGGAUUUAACCUUGUGCGUAGUGUGUGCAUGAGUAAGAGCACACAUGUGUAUGACCACGUGUAUACAUUUGAUGGUUAAUAAAUAUUUGUUCAUCUGGGAAACUUCAGCCUAAGACUGUCCUGGUCACAUAGCACCUGGUAGCCAGGCUGAGAAGAUCUAAAACUCUCAUCUUGCUCUAAGUUUUGGAAACUACAAAUAUCUACAAAAAGAACCUAAUGAUGAAAAAAUGAACAAAUUGUGAAUUAGGUCAGGAUGUAAACAUCAAAAAAUUAUUAUGCUGUAAACUUUCUAUAUGUAGGCAUUUUCAGAAAAGAUACUUUAUAAAUCUGAGGAAGGUAUACACCAUUAACCUUAACCUAAGGCCAUUUCGAAGGCUUUAAGGAAUGAAUUCCAACAAAUGGCACUCAAGUAUGGUUGUAUUUUUCUUUAAUCGUCAAAAGCCACUUAAUGAUUUUAUUGUGACUAGGAGGGUCAACAUCAUAAUCAACUGCUAGUGGAUAUUAAGCACAUGAAGAAGACACUAAUAGAUUCUUGCAGGAAAGACAAGGCUGUAUGAUGUAGGUAACUAGUCCCUAGUUGUGGGGAAUCUCACUUCUGAUUUUCUGUCUAUACUAUGUAAUAAUCAUGUGUUAUUUUUCCAUCUUUUCUGUUUUGUCACUGCAUUUCUUUUCCAUUCUUUGAGGCAAAAGCAUCCAGGGCCAUUUACUAGUUAAAAACGAUAAUGGCCAUAUAGUAACGCUAAAACUUUAGACUUAUUUUCUCUUCAAAUUUGUAGUUCAUAAAAAUAUACCACUUGUCAAUUCAAAACUUUCAGGUGAAACAUAAUGAAGCAAACCAACAGUGAUCAAUGAGAUCUGGGGCAUAUUAAGGAAACAAUAUUUAUGCAUAAUCACAGUGUAGAAAUUGUCAAAAGUGGGAUUUCUUUAUUUGCAUUCAUAAAAAAGGUAUAGGUAUUUUUGUUGCAAAUAGUCUAAUAGAUGUAUGAAUGCCUAGGUAUGUUAGAAAUUUUAAGCUUGUCACUAUACAAAUCCUAAAAAGCAAUCUUAUUCUAUUCAAGUCGUAUUAUACAAAGUAUGAUUUCUUGGUACUAUGGAGAAAUUUAUAAAUAGCUUAUAAUUUCCUUUGGCUCAUCAUCAUUCAGAUGAUGGCAUUAGAGCUGACAAAGUUGACUGAUCAUCCUUUGUAGCUUUAUGAGAAAAAUGAAUGCAGAAUCCUGGGCUGAUGAACUAGAUCUCUAAACCCUUCAUAUCUUACACUCACUUUCCAUAAAUAAGAAAUAAGAGCAAGAAAACAACAUCAGUUCAUAAGUCAUUCUGAACUUAUUAUCUUCUUUUAUUUGUAUAAUGACCAGUUAGAUACAAUUUUCUGGGGUAGAGUUAUAUAGCUUACUUAAAUACAUGUGUUAACAAUAUAAAAUGAUCUUAUGCCCUUUGACUCCAAUACUAAUAAUAUUUUUUAAUUGUACUCAGUUUUUAUCACAUACCACUUUUAAUUAGUUUUUAUUUAUUUUACAAUAAAAACAUAUCCCUGUAAAAUUC